AACGAACGCUGGCGGCAUGCCUAACACAUGCAAGUCGAACGAGCCCUUCGGGUCUAGUGGCGCACGGGUGCGUAACGCGUGGGAACCUGCCCUUAGGUUCGGAAUAACUCCCCGAAAGGGGUGCUAAUACCGGAUCAUGUCUUCGGACCAAAGAUUUAUCGCCUUUGGAUGGGCCCGCGUUGGAUUAGCUAGUUGGUAGGGUAAAAGCCUACCAAGGCGACGAUCCAUAGCUGGUCUGAGAGGAUGAUCAGCCACACUGGGACUGAGACACGGCCCAGACUCCUACGGGAGGAAGCAGUGGGGAAUAUUGGACAAUGGGCGAAAGCCUGAUCCAGCAAUGCCGCGUGAGUGAUGAAGGCCUUAGGGUUGUAAAGCUCUUUUAGCCGGGAAGAUAAUGACAGUACCGGGAGAAUAAGCUCCGGCUAACUCCGUG
rnacentral:rRNA from 1 species